rnacentral:rRNA from 1 species
GCGUCCGCUAKAUAMCAUGCAGUCGAGCGAGGYCCACWCUUCGGGGUGGUGCCCUAGCGGCGAACGGGUGAGUAACACGUGGGCAACCUGCCCUCAGCUCUGGGAUAACUCCAAGAAWUUGGUGCUAAUACCGGAUGUGACCGCUGACCGCAUGGUCUGGUGGUGGAAAGAUUYAUCGGCUGAGGAUGGGCCCGCGGCCUAUCAGCUUGUUGGUGGGGUAGUGGCCCACCAAGGCGACGACGGGUAGCCGGCCUGAGAGGGUGACCGGCCACACUGGGACUGAGACACGGCCCAGACUCCUACGGGAGGCAGCAGUGGGGAAUAUUGCGCAAUGGGCGGAAGCCUGACGCAGCGACGCCGCGUGAGGGAUGACGGCCUUCGGGUUGUAAACCUCUUUCAGUAGGGACGAAGCGAAAGUGACGGUACCUACAGAAGAAGCACCGGCCAACUACGUGCCAGCAGCCGCGGUAAUACGUAGGGUGCAAGCGUUGUCCGGAAUUAUUGGGCGUAAAGAGCUCGUAGGCGGUCUGUCGCGUCGGCUGUGAAAACCCGAGGCUCAACCUCGGGCCUGCAGUCGAUACGGGCAAACUAGAGUACUGCAGGGGAGACUGGAAUUCCUGGUGUAGCGGUGAAAUGCGCAGAUAUCAGGAGGAACACCGGUGGCGAAGGCGGGUCUCUGGGCAGUAACUGACGCUGAGGAGCGAAAGCGUGGGGAGCGAACAGGAUUAGAUACCCUGGUAGUCCACGCCGUAAACGUUGGGCGCUAGGUGUGGGGGCCAUUCCACGGUCUCCGUGCCGCAGCUAACGCAUUAAGCGCCCCGCCUGGGGAGUACGGCCGCAAGGCUAAAACUCAAGGAAUUGACGGGGGCCCGCACAAGCGGCGGAGCAUGUUGCUUAAUUCGAUGCAACGCGAAGAACCUUACCUAGCUUGACAUGCACGGAAAUCUCGUAGAGAUACGGGUGCCUUUGGCGUCGUGCACAGUGGUGCAUGGUUGUCGUCACUCGUGUCGUGAGAUGUUGGGUUAAGUCCCGCACGAGCGCAACCUCGUCUAUGUUGCCAGCACGUGAUGUUGGACUCAUAGGAGACUGCGGUUCACUCGAGGAUGUGGGAUGACGUCAAUUCAUCAUGCCCCCUAAUGGGUCCUCG